rnacentral:lncRNA from 1 species
GUUUUUGACUGUCUUUUUUCUCUCAGAAUCCUAGCGGGAACAUCCAAGGUGCACCAGCUAAAAGCCCCAGACUGCCUUACAACGUCUCCUCUCUCAAAGAGCCUCUUCCCAGGAACUCAGGGAGGGAGCUUUCCACACUGAGGGAAAAUGCUGGGUUUUUCAGGCUAAGCCAGAGGAUUUCCUUUAACUACAGCAGAGCUUUAGGUGCCGGGACAGAGCAGAUUUAUCUGCAGAACUCCAGGAAUCAAACAGACCUCUAAGCAGUUAUUUUGACCCAAUGUGGUAUGAUGGGAGGAGAUCAGAAAUGGGGCUGUGUUUUCCUCAGCGAGUCCAUUUUGAUGGCAGACCUGAGAGCUGAAAGCAACUUUUCAAAAUGGCAAGUGAGGUGCUCUACGCCGUGGUGUCACCCAAGGAAAGAGUGAAUUUUGUUUCAGAAGCUUCAGACACAGGUGAUGCAGUCACAUAUGCUGAGGUGAAUAUGAAAUGGACAUCUGAUAGCCCUGACAGCACACCCAAAAUUACACGUUCAGUGCCCUGCUCGGAGAGCUCCCUCUGGUUCUACCUUGUCUUCGCCCUGCUCUUCUGUUCGGUGGUUCUGCUCAUCACGGUCAUCCUGCUGGCGGUGAAAUGCUACAGCCGCUGACCCUGCUGCCACAGCGGAUAAGUCAGCACGGGAAGGUUCUGAUUCUUCUAUGGAACAGGACACAGUGGCUGUUUUAUUUGACAUUAUUUUGGCUGAAGAGACAAAAUGAAGACGUGUCAUCAGUCUGAUCACUCUCCAGUUAUGUCAUCCCAGAUCUCUGUAAAACUUCUAAUCUCUCCAUAUGUGGACAAGCAUAUAUUAAUUUUAUUUGGAAUUUUCUUAAUCCUGUAAUACCAACAACCAUCCAGCUAUAUCAGUGCAUGUAUCAAGACAUGGGCUCAAGCUCCUGCAUCAAAAGGUGGAUUUGGGCCUUAUUUAGACAACAAAAAUGACCAGGUGGACAAAUACUUUUAAUUCACAUCUGACUUGAUUCUGCACUGAUGUGCAACACAGAAAAGCUUUUGGAUUGCAUGCAACUGCAAAAACUCACAGACAAAACAGGGAAUGUGAAACGUUGCAAUGAGCUUUUUUUAUAAAGCCUGGGCUUGGACUUGAUUUUUCUUCUUCUGACAGCCUUUAGUUGGAUUUGUAUGAAAAGGAUAUUGAAUGUUCAAGAAAUGUUGUUAGUAGAGAAGUCUCAGUUUCACCUUCUCAUUGGCUUGAAUUAAAUUGUUCUGUUCCAGUUGUCCAGAAGAGCAUCUCACAAUAUAUUGUUUCUGUCUUGGGGCAGUAAUUGAUUUUUGUAUUUGUUUGGGUUUGGUUUUUCCCCACAUGCCAUAGCUUCAGUUAAAACUGAGUCCUCCACUGGAACUGAGGCAUUGAAGUUCAAAUACAUUUAUUUGUAAUUAUGACCUUAUUGUCUGUUUUCAUAUUAUUUCUGGAUCUUAUCCAUUUUAACUUCUUUGUGGCAGGCUGCAGAAGAUUUGCAGACUCUGACUAGGAGGAGUCUAUAUAGCAAAUAUUUCUGGAAUAUUUCUUGUAUCUAAUCUUACCUGUAAUUUAGCUGUUGCUGCAGUUGGCAAUGUACCCUAUCUUAUCUUAAUAAUACAUAAAUGCACAGAAGUCAAUAAAGG